UACGUAGGGCGCAAGCGUUGUCCGGAAUUAUUGGGCGUAAAGAGCUCGUAGGCGGUUUGUCGCGUCUGCUGUGAAAACCUAAGGCUCAACCUUGGGCUUGCAGUGGGUACGGGCAGACUAGAGUGCGGUAGGGGUGACUGGAAUUCCUGGUGUAGCGGUGGAAUGCGCAGAUAUCAGGAGGAACACCGAUGGCGAAGGCAGGUCACUGGGGCCGCAACUGA
rnacentral:rRNA from 1 species